rnacentral:rRNA from 1 species
UAGUGUAGUUAACACCUGCAUUAUUUGACGUUACCUACAGAAGAAAGCACCGGCUAACUCCGUGCCAGUAGCCGCGGUAAUACGGAGGGUGCGAGCGUUAAUCGGAAUUACUGGGCGUAAAGCGCAUGCAGGCGGCCUGUUAAGUCAGAUGUGAAAGCCCGGGGCGUUAACCUCGGAAAUUGCAUUUGAAACUAGGCAGGCUAGAGUCUUGUAGAGGGGGGUAGGAAUUUCAGGUGUAGCGGUGAAAUAGCGUAGAGAUCUGAAGGAAUACCAGUGGCGAAGGCGGCCCCCUGGACAAAGACUGACGCUCAGAUGCGAAAGCGUGGGGAGCAAACAGGAUUAGAUACCCUGGUAG